rnacentral:rRNA from 1 species
GAUGAACGGUAGCGGGAGGCCUAACACAUGCAAGCCGAGCGGUAUUGUUUCUUCGGAAAUGAGAGAGCGGCGUACGGGUGCGUAACACGUGUGCAACCUGCCUUUAUCUGGGGGAUAGCCUUUCGAAAGGAAGAUUAAUACUCCAUAAUAUAUUGAACGGCAUCGUUUAAUAUUGAAAGCUCCGGCGGAUAGAGAUGGGCACGCGCAAGAUUAGCUAGUUGGUGAGGUAACGGCUCACCAAGGCGAUGAUCUUUAGGGGGCCUGAGAGGGUGAUCCCCCACACUGGUACUGAGACACGGACCAGACUCCUACGGGAGGCAGCAGUGAGGAAUAUUGGUCAAUGGGUGCAAGCCUGAACCAGCCAUCCCGUGUGAAGGACGACUGCCCUAUGGGUUGUAAACUUCUUUUGUAUAGGGAUAAACCUACCCUCGAGAGGGUAGCUGAAGGUACUAUACGAAUAAGCACCGGCUAACUCCGUG